rnacentral:rRNA from 1 species
AGUGAACGCUGGCGGUAGGCCUAACACAUGCAAGUCGAACGGCAGCACAGUAAGAGCUUGCUCUUACGGGUGGCGAGUGGCGGACGGGUGAGGAAUACAUCGGAAUCUACUUUUUCGUGGGGGAUAACGUAGGGAAACUUACGCUAAUACCGCAUACGACCUACGGGUGAAAGCAGGGGAUCUUCGGACCUUGCGCGAUUGAAUGAGCCGAUGUCGGAUUAGCUAGUUGGCGGGGUAAAGGCCCACCAAGGCGACGAUCCGUAGCUGGUCUGAGAGGAUGAUCAGCCACACUGGAGCGGAGACACGGUCCAGACUCCUACGGGAGGCACCAGUGGGGAAUAUUGGACAAUGGGCGCAAGCCUGAUCCAGCCAGACCGCGUGGGUGAAGAAGGCCUUCGGGUUGUAAAGCCCUUUUGUUGGGAAAGAAAAGCAGCAGGUUAAUACCCCGCUGUUCUGACGGUACCCAAAGAAUAAGCACCGGCUAACUUCGUG